ensembl:lncRNA
CGGUAAGAGUGCUGCGACUGACACAGCUGUCAGUAGGGGCACGUGCCAUGCUGCGGGCGUUCCGAGGCCUGCGCUGUGGGGCAGCUGUGUGCAGGCAGCGUGCGCUCAGCGGUGGUGCGCCAGGCUUGUGUCUGUUUGAUAGGAACACGGGGCGUUGAGUAGACUUGCUGGGGCAGGAAGUUCUCCUUCAGUCCUUGAGAGCAUUGGAAGGCUGUGGGGGACUGCGGUGUCAGCUCUCAUUCCCGUUUCCUCUUGUUGGCAGAGCCCUUUGGAGCAGCCCGCACUCCUCCUUGCUGCUCUGGGCUCCUGGCAUGUGAUUGUGGAGUAGGCAGCCAGUUGUCAGAGCGUUUCUUUUCUCCUGUGAAUCAGGAACCCCUUCCUUUUCUUGACUCUGUCGUGUAUUGCUUUGGACUUGUCUUCCUCUUUCUCAAAGCCCGUUUUUGUGUCCUUCUCUCCAGCCACGAAUUUGAGUCGGAGCAGAUUCCAGAGCUAAGCGUCCGUGACAUUCACAGCGUGAGCUCCCUGUGCAAGAUGUACUUCAGGGAGCUCCCGACCCCUCUGCUGACCGAGCAGCUGUAUGGCAAGUUCUCGGUAAGCACAAGGCAAUGGCUUUCAUGUCCCUCUUCCCUGGGCCUCUUGGCAUGGCCUGUCGCAUACACACACGCCUGCGCACCUCAUGGUCUUUUUUUCUGAUUUUCUGUUAGCCCCAUGGGGUAGACUCGCAUGUCUUUGCCACAUCCUGCAGCAUACUGUUGCCACUAUUGGUGCUCAUUUCUGGAGGUGGUCAUUUCCAUAUUCACAAUGCUUGCGAGGAGCUGAGGUGCACAAUCAGGCUGUAAAGCAGCCCAGUGCUUGGACUGCUUGGCCUUGAUGGCACCAGCUGCGUGCCGCUGUGUUCCCCAGGUUUUCUGCCUGUUGGAAGGCAUAAAAUCCGCCUCAGUGCUGAGCAACAGCGUUCUGUCUUCAUAGUUGCCGAGCCUGUGGCAGGUAUCUCUACUGAUGUGUGUCUAAAUCCCUCUCUGCUUUCUUCCAGGAUGCUGUUUGUGCCGCUACAGAUGAGGAGCGGUUGCUCAGAAUGCAGGAGGUCAUCCAGCAGCUGCCCGCGCCUCACUACAGGUCAGAAAACUGCUGCCCUGAGUGUGGUGAGCUCAGCCCUGCUGCAUUUCAGAGGGCGAUGAUGCGAUGGCAGGCUUUGUCUCACGCUCACAACAUGAUGCCUGUGUGUGUUGAAGUGAUUGAUGGCUCGGUGGGGUUGAUGGAUUGGGU